AUUGAACGCUGGCGGCAUGCCUUACACAUGCAAGUCGAACGGCAGCACGGGUGCUUGCACCUAGUGGCGAGUGGCGCACGGGUGAGUAAUACAUCGGAACAUGUCCUGUAGUGGGGGAUAGCCCGGCGAAAGCCGGAUUAAUACCGCAUACGAUCUACGGAUGAAAGCGGGGGACCAUCGGGCCUCGCGCUAUAGGGUUGGCCGAUGGCUGAUUCGCUAGUUGGUGGGGUAAAGGCCUACCAAGGCGACGAUCAGUAGCUGGUCUGAGAGGACGACCAGCCACACUGGGACUGGAACACGGCCCAGACUCCGACGGGAGGCAGCGGUGGGGAAUUUUGGACGAUGGGCGAAAUCCUGAUCCAUCAAUGCCGCGUGUGUGAAGAAGGCCUUCGUGUUGUAUAGCACUUUUGUCCGGAAAGAAAUCUUUGGCCCUAAUACGGUCGUGGGAUGACGGUACCGGAAGAAUAAGCACCGGCUAACUACGUG
rnacentral:rRNA from 1 species